rnacentral:rRNA from 1 species
UACGUAGGGCGCAAGCGUUGUCCGGAAUUAUUGGGCGUAAAGAGCUCGUAGGCGGUUUGUCGCGUCUGCUGUGAAACGCGGGGCUCAACUCCGCGCCUGCAGUGGGUACGGGCAGACUAGAGUGCAGUAGGGGAGACUGGAAUUCCUGGUGUAGCGGUGGAAUGCGCAGAGUAUCAGGAGGAACACCGGUGGCGAAGGCGGGUCUCUGGGCUGUAACUGACGCUGAGGAGCGAAAGCGUGGGUAGCGAACAGG